AGAAAGUACAGCAUAAGCACUGACAAAGGGCAUCAAAGGAACAGAUGAUGAAUCUGCAUGGAGCCAUUCAGUGCAGGAACUCAGAGCAAAUCCGCAUAUUUCCUUCGAUGAAGGAAAGAUGCCGAGAAAUGAAGCGAUCGACUCGC